rnacentral:rRNA from 1 species
UACGAAGGGGGCUAGCGUUGCUCGGAAUGACUGGGCGUAAAGCGCGUGUAGGCGGGUCGUUAAGUUGGGGGUGAAAGCCCGGGGCUCAACCCCGGGUCGGCCGUGCGGACUGCCGGGCUGGAGCACUGUAGAGGCAGGUGGAAUUCCGGGUGUAGCGGUGGAAUGCGUAGAGAUCCGGAAGAACACCGGUGGCGAAGGCGGCCUGCUGGGCAGUAGCUGACGCUGAAGCGCGACAGCGUGGGGAGCAAACAGG